UAGGGUGUGUUUGGUUUUGGGAUGAUGUGGGUUGGGUUGGAGCCGACCCACUUUUAUGGGUUGGAGCCGACCCAUCCCGUGUUUGGAUGAGUGGGUUGGAGCCAACCCAGUCUUUUGUUUGGUUGGAGAGAUUGAGAGGGUUGGGUGGAUGUCUUUUUAACACCGUUAGUUGUGGGCCCCACCUGUCAGCUGCGGGGCCCACCUGUCAGCCUCUCUUUUUUUCCUUAUCUUCUUCUUCCUCCCUCACGGUCCGCUCCUGCUCAUCCUCCUGGCGCGCUCCUCCUGCCCGGCCGCCG
rnacentral:lncRNA from 1 species